rnacentral:lncRNA from 1 species
AGCUAAUCGUUGAAAAUGGGCAUUAGGGCUUUUAUAGCAUGGCAACAUAUUGUCAGGCAGGAAGGGAAAGAAGUGGAAAACACAGCCUGGAAAAAAAAUAUGAUUCAGGCUGCCCCUGCUGAAUUUUAGAGAGCGUCAAAACUUAUUGGUUAAAGGGAUGCCUUUAUGAGUAAAACAUGAGAAAUAUUCACUUACUAGGUAAGCAAUUUGUAAGGACUGGAAGUAGAAAUUAAGCAACCAAGACAAGAAGGCUGUCCUAUCAGUUUCAAGAACAACUAAGAGGAUGUUAAAGCAGAGGGAGCCCCUGCAUGACUUAAGAAAACCGAAGGCAGGCAGAACAGAGACUUUUCAGGGUGCGAAGUUACGCAUGGUGCCCUCUACUGGAGUCACUGGUAAAGAGUUUUGAUUUCAAAAAGAAAUUGACGUAGAAUUUGUUCUUGUUCCAUUGUAUUGGUGAAGAAACUGAAGUUCAAAGUAAUUGGCAGAACAUACUACUUUGGGCAGUAUGGGAGUAGAGGCCUAUGGACGACCAGCAACAGGCUAGGGAUAAGAGUGGAGAUCUGAAUACAAGAAACUAGUAUUCAGGAUACGGGUCCUGGUUGUGAUUCUCUCCUAAUCCUUCGUGUGACUGGAGUUAUGUCGUGUGACUCUCAUAAACAAUGGGUUUUCCUUCUUUGUACGUAAUAGUUGGCAGAAGUGGUUACGUCCUUGCCACAAGGAAAAAGUCUCAUGAGAUGAUUAAUCUAAAACUUAUUUUAGAAAUAUAAAGGACUUUAUGAAUUCAAGGCAGUAUAUUAAGAAAAUAUCCCCUCAAACAAUGAACCAAUGAGACUGGCAAAGAUCUUGAUUUUCCUGAUUUUCAUUUAGAUUCUUAACAUUUGAGUCCAUUGAUAUAUUCGAAGCUCUACCCUUCUGGAAAAUAUCAUAAGAUUUGAAAAAUAUAGCUGCAAAGAGCAAAAGAAGAUUUGCGUCUCAAUAGAAAAGAUCUACAGAUUGAAUAUUGCAUAGAAAACAAUUUAUUCACCUUACAAAGAUAAAAGGAUGAAAACGCCCUGAGCAGUAAUAAAACUUCGCCAUUUUGGGGAGGGCCUCAAGAGGCUAUCUUAUCAAUCUUGGUCGUUGGAAAAGUAUCUGUAAUCUCAAAGAAAACUUUAAAUACUGUCCAAGGAAAAUAUCCAAAUACAUCUUAAAAUGCCA